AUUAAGCUCUUCAAUGUCAUAUAAUUAGCAAGUGGAAGAACUGGGAUUCCAUCUCAAGGCUGUUUCUGAAGUUAAUGUCCUCUCCAUAGUGCCCUGUUUCAUUCUAUUUGAACUUGGGUAUGAAUUUGAAUAUCUACAUUCGAGGAAUAUUACUGUUUCUAAUAUAUGUGUAUAUAUAUAGCCUCUGACAUGUCCUAUAUAAAAUACUAUACCAUAAAUUUUCAUACCUCACUCCUCUGUGCUGGUGGACAGGCCAAAGGGAUUUUGAAUGGAAGCUACCAUCUCAAACAUUCACUUCAAGAAAGAAAUAGGAGGAAGAGAAGAAGCAGGAGAGGAAGGAAAGUAUAAUAAAGAGAAAGAUUAACUUAUAGAGUAGGGAUUUUGGGGCUAUGAUCUUGGAAGAAAAACAGAGCAUAGAUUAUUUAAACCCACAUUUGUUUUACUGAGAAAGUAACAGAGAAAAACCCACUGAAUGCAUGUUAACUGCUCAAUACUUGUGUGCUGAAUGCAAAUUAAUUACUAAAACCAUCUGGUAAUCAUUCGAAUCUGGCAGUAAAAGUGAUGAGUGAAGCAUUUAUCAUCACUCUGAAGGCACAUUUUUCUAAUGGAUCUUUUACUCAAGUUUUAUGUUUCUGUUGUGAAUUUAAGAGUUUUUUCUAGCCACAUAGUGCUUCCAACUUCUAUUUGUAAUUAGGAUGAUUCUAAUUAUGUAGUGGUGGCACCAGGAAUAAUAUUGCAAUUGGCCUUCAUUGAUCAAUAGAGCAUCCACCUCUUAACUCACAAAAUAAUGCAAACUUUGAUUAAAUUAGAGAAAACCAAUGAACACACUUUUAUUGUAAGGAAGCACCCUUUACCUGCUUCAGAAUAUGCAUAGAAGUAUGUGUGUGUAUGUGUGUAUUUAUGUGUAUGUGUUUGUGUGUAGAUAUGUAUGCAUGUGGCUUUUGGAGCACAAAUUUAAUUUUCUGUUGUGUAUCAUUGCAGAGAUACCUAUCUAACCUUCACAAUAGUAUGCUGUUCAAAGGGCAUAAUCAAAAGAAGUAGCACCUUUGGUUUCAGGCUAACACCUUAAGUUUCAGGUGUACGAUAUAGUGAUUCAACAGUUCCAUAUAUUAUUCAGUGCUCAUCAAGGAGACUGUUUUAGGGAUCUUCAGGAUGAAUGAAAGCAAAAAUUACUCAAAGCAGGUCAAGAAAAAGAGAAUAACCAGAAGGAUUCAGGGAAGACGUACAGAACUCAAUCAUGGAAACACAAAGAAGGAGUUCCCUGCCUUCUAAUUUCUGCUUCUCCUUGUAUACCUGUACUGUUCCCAUGCUUGUUUCUUUUUUUCCUCCAGCUUUGUUGUGGUAUA